rnacentral:rRNA from 1 species
GAUCAAGCGCAUAAGGGCUUCUGACGGAUGCCUUGGCAUUGAGAGGCGAUGAAGGACGUGGCACGCUGCGAUAAGAGCCGGGGAGGCGCGAGCACCCUUUGAUCCGGCUAUCUCCGAAUGGGGAAACCCACCUUUAUGGUCACCCAACUUAGUCUUGCCUUCGGGCAGGGCCAGGAUUGGUUGAUCAGAAGAGGUAUAAUGACCUGAAUACAUAGGGUUCAUUAAGCAAACCCGGGGAACUGAAACAUCUCAGUAC